rnacentral:rRNA from 1 species
UAUCCGUAGGUGAACCUGCGGAAGGAUCAUUA